GUUUUAUAGGAACCGAACAUUUGGCUGGAUCAUGCUGGAAAAUGUGUCAGCACUCGGCUUCGUUUCAACCCGGAGGAAGAUUGGCAGCAUCAAUAAGAAGCUCAUCUUAAUGUCAACUGUCCAAAGGAUUUGUUUUGAAGAAGAAUUUGUCAUUGAGCUGAUGGAAAAUGUGUCAGCACUCGGCUGUAUUUCAACACGGAGGACGUCUAGCAGCAGCAAAAAGAAAUUCAACUGAUAAUCAACUGCCCAAAGGAUUUUGAAGAAGAAUUUGUCAGAAAGCUGAUGGGAAAUGUGUCGGCACUCGUCUUCGUUUCAACCCGGAGGAAGAUUGGCAGCAUCAAAAAGAAGAUCACUUAAUUUAGUUGUCCCCCCUUUACGCAUUAGCGCUCAUCUCUCAUCCACUCAUCCAACACAUUGACUACGCCGGCCGGCAACACACAUAUAUUAUACACAUUACCCGUUUUAUAUUAUAUAGUAUUAUUAAUAUCCACAUAGUUUAAGUUAUUGUAUAUUUUUUUUUAUUAUUUGAAUGCAUUCAUAUGAUCAGUGGCGUAUUUAGGAAUUUUAUGAUAAACAACACAUAUUUUGCAGCCUCCCUCCCCAUUAAAAAAAAAUUAAAAAACUUCUACGCCGCGCAAUGGUGAAACUGUUAAUACCAUAGAAUACCAUGUUAUAUAAAUACUGUAUAGUAUUUUAUACCUCUAUGGCAAUGGCACACAUUUGUUGUGAAAAUUAUUAAUUAUUGACGUCACUGCGCCAGUACUCAUAAAGUACGAAAUUCGCCGUUCUGGACAACUGGACCCAAAGCCCCUACCUAAAUACGCCCCUGAAUAUAAUGCGUUCUCGCUUACGAUGUGGAUUAGGCCUACUGGGGACACCACAAUAAAAAAACGCGCCUCGUGUAAUACCUCAUAAAGUUAUUAAACAAUACGGACAAUGUUAUUGUACGUCGUUUAAUAAUAAAGGUGGUGUGGAA